rnacentral:rRNA from 1 species
UUGAUGCUGGCUCAAGACGAACGCUGGCGGCGCGCCUCACACAUGCAAGUCAAACGAGCGAGAGAGAGCUUGCUUUCUCGAGCGAGUGGAGAACGGGUGAGUAACGCAUGAGGAAUCUGCCACAAAGAGGGGGACAACAGUUGGAAACGACUGCUAAUACCGCAUAAGCCCACGGUGCCGCAUGGCACAGAGGGAAAAGGAGCAAUCCGCUUUGAGAUGGCCUCGCGUCCGAUUAGCUAGUUGGUGAGGUAACGGCUCACCAAGGCAACGAUCGGUAGCCGGACUGAGAGGUUGAACGGCCACAUUGGGACUGAGACACGGCCCAGACUCCUACGGGAGGCAGCAGUGGGGAAUAUUGCACAAUGGGGGAAACCCUGAUGCAGCGACGCCGCGUGGAGGAAGAAGGUCUUCGGAUUGUAAACUCCGUGUUGUUGGGGAAGAUAAUGACGGUACCCAACAAGGAAGUGCCGGCUAACUACGUGCCAGCAGCCGCGGUAAAACGUAGGUCACAAGCGUUGUCCGGAAUUACUGGGUGUAAAGGGAGCGCAGGCGGGAAGACAAGUUGGAAGUGAAAUCUAUGGGCUCAACCCAUAAACUGCUUUCAAAACUGUUUUUCUUGAGUAGUGCAGAGGUAGGCGGAAUUCCCGGUGUAGCGGUGGAAUGCGUAGAUAUCGGGAGGAACACCAGUGGCGAAGGCGGCCUACUGGGCACCAACUGACGCUGAGGCUCGAAAGUGUGGGUAGCAAACAGGAUUAGAUACCCUGGUAGUCCACACCGUAAUCGAUGAUUACUAGGUGUUGGAGGAUUGACCCCUUCAGUGCCGCAGUUAACACAAUAAGUAAUCCACCUGGGGAGUACGACCGCAAGGUUGAAACUCAAAGGAAUUGACGGGGGCCCGCACAAGCAGUGGAGUAUGUGGUUUAAUUCGACGCAACGCGAAGAACCUUACCAAGUCUUGACAUCCCUUGACAGACAUAGAAAUAUGUAAUCUCUUCGGAGCAAGGAGACAGGUGGUGCAUGGUUGUCGUCAGCUCGUGUCGUGAGAUGUUGGGUUAAGUCCCGCAACGAGCGCAACCUUUAUGGUCAGUUACUACGCAAGAGGACUCUGGCCAGACUGCCGUGGACAAAUCGGAGGAAGGUGGGGAUGACGUCAAAUCAUCAUGCCCUUUAUGACUUGGGCUACACACGUACUACAAUGGCGUUAAACAAAGAGAAGCAAGAGCCGCGAGGUGGAGCAAAACUCAGAAACAAUGUCCCAGUUAGGCCUGCAGUCUGCAACUCGCCUGCAAGAAGUAGGAAUUGCUAGUAAUCGUGGAUCAGCAUGCCACGGUGAAUACGUUCCCGGCCCUUGUACACACCGCCCGUCA